AAUAGUUUUAUGCCACAUCAGUACUCUUAUCCUGAAUUUCAGGAUUUUAUCUUGAAAAAAAUAAAAUCCAAAUUAAAAUACUAAAAUUCAGGAUAAAAUCCUGAAAUUCAGGAUAAGAACACUGAUGUGGCAUAAAACUAUU
rfam:Gossypium arboreum cultivar AKA8401 contig_20886_3, whole genome shotgun sequence.